GGAAUGAAGGGAAAACCAAUAUGACCAGAAUGAUGGAGAUCAAGCCACACACCAAGGCAGAGUUCUCCAGAAACAGAUCCUCAGAUGGAGCUCAGAGUGUAAGAGUGGAGAAUAACUGUGGUAUUCUGCAACAUACUGAAUGGAAAAGUAGCACAGGAACACAGUAACAAAGAGCCUUUCAUGCUGCAAGGGAGAGUAUUCCUGUUGGCAGAGAGAACCUUCACCGCUGGGACUGCUAAACUGCAAAUCUGUGAAAAGAAAGAUUUCUAUGUUUAGAAAUACUGGAUAUACUUAAAAUAGUGUCACUUUAGUGUGUGUGUGUGUGUGUGUGUGUACACAGCUUGCUUGUGUGUCUAUGUAUGUGUAUGAAUAUUUUAUUUAAAAUCUCUUUGGCGGGGCUUAUGAAGGUUUACUCUUCUUUGGAGUGUUGAAUCUAUUUGUCUGAAAUAUAAUAAACCAGGGAUUAUACUCAGAGGGCACACAUCAAGCAGCCAUAGUACUUAUUAAAUAUUGAGAUAUUUUUCUACCAGUUGGGAAAUGGUAUAAUAGUAAAUGUGAUAAGCACUAAAAUUCAUUAAUGAAUUCCAGCACAUGCAGUAUGUGGAUUUUUCUUAGAAACCAUAUACCGCUAUGAUUCAUAUAGACACACACACACA